AUUACUGCUGCUGCUGUCUAUAACUCGAGUAUCGUGAGCACACUUCCGUGGGCUUAAGCGAGAUAAUCGGUUUCCCACAACGGACUCGCCUUCGCUUUUUCGUUUGUUUUAAGGUCGGUUUCGCCCGCCCUCCAGCCCGCGCACAAAGCCCAGCCAGAGAAUCCGGCUAUCUGGUCCAAAGCUCAGCCCUGCAUAUUCAUUUCUGAUCAUUUGUGUGUUCGCUUCCUGUGGAAGGGCUGAAAUUUAGUGAUGAAGAUGUUGUGCAUGCAAAAAGUCUCAGGAAUUUCCAUGCAAGUCUCAGGAAAGCCCAUCUAAAACCCUGCUAGUCAGGUUAGACAAUAUUGAACUAGAUGAAUUAACUGUUUUAACUUAUAAGACAGUUUCAUACAUUCCUCCGUUUAAAGUGUUGCUUUUUAUAUUUCUCAUUGUAAUAAAGUCUUUUAGCAUAUGCAGAGUGCUUUCCACUGGCAAUAGUAAUGAUUACCCAUAGACAUAGCUUUAUAUAAGUUGAAUCCAGGGUUUACCUUCCAUACCUUCUGCUCAUGGAAGGUACCUCUGUCUGAUUUUCAGGUAUAUCCCUCUCCUCCCUACACCACAGCUCACCCCAUUCACCAGGGUCCCCUAACCUUCUGUGUAACAUUUUCAGAGGCCUGGAGAAGCUGCUGUGGGGAGGAGAGGGCAAGGAAAUCUGCUUUCACCAGCUCAGCUACACACACCUAAAUCUGGAUUCAACCCUUUUGGUCUUAUGACUCACUGAACUGUCCUAUUGAUAAAUUAACUUUAUUGCACAAGGCCUUUUACAAAAAAAUCUCAUUGCCCAUUAAAUGAAUAUAUAAUAUACUUAAGCUGCACCAAUACAUCAGUUCAUUAAAAUCAUUAAAAUAUUUUCCUUUAAAACUUGCACAGAGUUUCCUAGCUGCUGCAGUAAACCUAAUAAGUAAGGUAACACCAGUCUAUGGAUAAUCAUGUCACAAUAUUUGGUGGCAUUUUAACCUGAGUACUGUGAAAGAAUACCUAAUAAGUUUUGUCCUUAAUAAUGUUUUUUUUUAAAAAAAACAAUUUAAACUUUUAAAAAUCAAACUGGAUGAAUAGACUUUGCUUGCAUAUAGGUAUGCGUGCUUCUCAGCAGUAAGUCCCACUAUGGGUCAUGGGGUUUACUCCAUGGUAUGCUCACAUAGGAUUGCAGCUAAGGCUGCAAUGCUAUACAUAUAUAUGUGGGAAUAAAUCUCAUUGAAGGCUGUGGGAAUUACUGAAUAAACAUGCAUAGAAUGGUGCUGUCAGGCUCUGAAAUGAUGGGUCAGGACCCCUGAGUGGCAUGUGUGUGCAGGAAUUUGAAUGGAUGAAUCUGGGGGUGAACUGCUGCUCUUUGGAGAUAAGCAGCAGUGAUGGGUGGGAUUAGCCUUCAUUUGACCUUUGGAAAUCUGUCAAAUUUCUAAUUUUGGAAGGUUGUAUUUGUCUUACGACUUUUUGACUUAUGACCUUAGAUCUUUUGGGCCAUAAUUCAAAAAGAUCUGGAAAUGGAAUGGAGUGAGAAAUACUAGGGGAGAGCGCUACAAUCGUUGCAGCCUGUAACAGGAAGGGACACCAAAUGCUGGCAGGAUGCAGCUUUCUGUAGGGGAUGGCCUCACAUCCAGAAUAUGUCCUGGUGACUAAAAGGAAGCUGACAGAACGGUUUCCUGCUUAUAGGAUAAUGGUCAUUCUGGAACCAGGUUUAGGAGUCCCCUGAAUGGCAGAGGACAUUACACAGUUCCUGAAAUGCAGCCUUGAAACAAGGAUAUUACACAGUGGCCCUGGGCGUUCAGAAGACACCUUAAACAACGGCUUGAAGACGCCUUAAAAAGCCUUAUUCACUGUGGUUAAAGCCAUCUUCUGAACAGUGUGGGCUGCGAACUCCUUUGUAGUAUCAUACCCUGGCUAAAAGAAACAGGCUGAAUUUAAACUGCCUGAAUUUAUUUAUUUAUUCAUUAUUAUUUAUUUCUUGCAUUUUUAUACUGCCCAAUAGCUGAAGCUCCCUGGGCAAUUAGUGCAGAUCAAAAACUUGUGGCUGGUAACGAUGAGUUAUUGUAAUAACAUUCCUUGUAAUCAUAUAGCGUUUUCCCUCAGUGCUCAAAGCAUUCCAUUCUCAAUGAUCCCAACAGCCCUGAAAGGCAAGAGUAGUGACUCUUUUUUGAUCUGGGCGGCCAAAUUCUAAUUUGGGAAGGGUCUCAUGACCUACAUUCUAGCAGUGGUUGGAGCAAAGGUCACAGGCUUUAAGGUGUACAAACCGGCAUACAGUAUAAGGUAUACCAGUAUUAUUAUCUAUAUGUUAUAAAUGAAGGUGGGGUUGACAGUGAAAUGGUGACUCAUAUAAGGCUGUCCAGUGAGUUUAUAGAAAGGAAUGUGAAGUUUCUUUUCAGUUCAAAUCAAAGCAAAAUGUUAUGGGAAAAGAAACAGAAGUGCUCUAGGUGAAUGUAAAGUGUUUUUCACUUUUACUAAUAAUAAUGGGGUGGGGGGAGAAAUCAAUUAAACCGGAAAUCUUACUUUCAGUUCAUUGCAAAUUAAUCCUGUGCCAGUCUGGUUUAUUGGAAAAGCCUGAAUAAAAGAACUGACAAAGAACUUCUUUGAAUUGCACCUUCUUGUUUAAAGGUGCAAUUCAUGUAUUUGGCAAGGACAUUAGGGACUUUUUGUCUAGGGGAAACCCAGCAGAAGUAUGUUUCCAUAUCUCAUGACCUUUUUACAAAAGGGGGAAUUCCAUUUACUGAAUUACUUCCUCUGUGUCAUGAUGACAGUCUGGCAGACUGCCAGAUUUUGGCAAACCGCUGCAGAUAACUUGCUAGCUCAGUGUAACAUGAAUAUUGAACAUGAAGUAUCAAACUAGCGUUCUGUGACUGCAAGUUCUUAAUAAAGUUUUGGUCUCUUGCCAUAGUCUUCUCCUGCUUAGUUUCACAAUUGUAUUUUUCCCUUCAAUAUCUGACUGCCUGUGGUUUUUCAUAUGUGACAAUAUUAAAUUCUUGUGUGCUAGUUCUGUCACGUAUGAAAGUUAGAGAAAAGAAAUCAAAUGAGCCCUUUAGCCAAUGUAGAUUUUAAAUUGUGUUAUAGACAGAUUUAAAUUUUAAUUAAAUAUAGCACUAUUACUCUUUA